rnacentral:lncRNA from 11 species
CAAACCAGGAAAUAAGCAGGAGAGAGAAAACCAAGUAAGACAUCACAAGAUUCAAAGCAGCUUACGUAAAGAUAACUAGAUUCACCUUGGACUCAGUGACAAAUGGUGAUCUUUGAUUCUUCCUAGUUUGCAAUAUGGAUUUCAGCAAACUUGAAUGCUUAAUUCACAUAUACGGGUCACAGCAGCAGUUAAGCAUUACCAGCCACCUGCAAAACUUGGCACCCCAGAAGAUGUAUGACAAGGAGUUGAAUAUUGGACUUGCCUUGCCCUCUAAUUGGAUUCAGAUGUCUUAUCACAACUGGAAUGCCCAUCUGCCAAGGGAUGGUUCAACCUUGACUCUCCCAAGGAAUGCUGUUCAAGCUGCCUGCUUGAAACCAUUGUAUGCUUGCUCCCAGAAUCCUCAGAGACAAACUAUGGCUGGCCAGGAACAGCUUUGUUGUAAGUAAAGCCCUAUAUAUAUGGGAUGUAGAGCAUGACUCAUGUAUUCUGAACAAUAAAGAUGUUUGGUAUCUUCAGCUCCUGUGCAUCUUGGAGUAUUCUUUCAAGAGAAGGCUAACUCUAUAGCAACACAGCUGAUGCAAAAGAAUAUUACAUGGCUUUAAAGAACCCAUUCCUAUUUUUCCCAGGUUAUUUCUGCCUCUGGUACCACGUUUCCUGUUUAAAAAGUAGUGACUUUUUCACUGGGAUAUACCCACAUUAAUUUUGAAGGAUGCUUUGUUGUGUGUGAAAUAAUCAAGUAUUUAAGGCCUAAAUAAUUUCUUCAAAUUUAGCACAAUUGUUUGAGCAACAUCUGUGGGAACUAAUAUCCCCAUGGAAAUAAUAGUUUUCAGGCACCUCCAGAGAGACCAAUCAUAACCAGGCAAACUAUUUUCAGUGUUUAGCUACUGGCCAUAGUGUAACAAAGUCAGUAUACAUAGUUCUAUCUUGUACCUUUAACUCAAAGAUCGUAAUCUUCUAUUUCCUCUUUGAUUUCAUCCUUUCUUCUUCAGCC